AAGUGUUGCAGCUCUUUUAGAAUUUGUCUAGCAGGCUUUCUGGCUGUUGCCGGAAGGCCCCU
rnacentral:snRNA from 1 species